AUUGAACGCUGGCGGCAUGCCUUACACAUGCAAGUCGAACGGUAACGCGGGGCAACCUGGCGGCGAGUGGCGAACGGGUGAGUAAUGCAUCGGAACGUGCCCAAUAGUGGGGGAUAGCCCGGCGAAAGCCGGAUUAAUACCGCAUACGACCUGAGGGUGAAAGCGGGGGAUCGCAAGACCUCGCGCUUUUGGAGGGGCGGAUGUCGGAUUAGCUAGUUGGUGGGGUAAAGGCCUACCAAGGCUACGAUCCGUAGCUGGUCUGAGAGGACGACCAGCCACACUGGGACUGAGACACGGCCCAGACUCCUACGGGAGGCAGCAGUGGGGAAUUUUGGACAAUGGGGGCAACCCUGAUCCAGCCAUGCCGCGUGCGGGAAGAAGGCCUUCGGGUUGUAAACCGCUUUUGUCAGGGAAGAAACGGCUUGGGUUAAUACCCCGGGCUAAUGACGGUACCUGAAGAAUAAGCACCGGCUAACUACGUGCCAGCCGCCGCCGUAACAC
rnacentral:rRNA from 1 species